rnacentral:rRNA from 1 species
ACGAACGCUGGCGGCGUGCUUAACACAUGCAAGUCGAACGGAAAGGCCCCUUUGGGGGUACUCGAGUGGCGAACGGGUGAGUAACACGUGAGUAACCUGCCCUUGACUUCGGGAUAACUUCAGGAAACUGGGGCUAAUACCGGAUAGGAAUCCUUGCUGCAUGGUGGGGGUUGGAAAGCUUCGGCGGUUUUGGAUGGACUCGCGGCUUAUCAGCUUGUUGGUGGGGUAGUGGCUUACCAAGGCUUUGACGGGUAGCCGGCCUGAGAGGGCGACCGGCCACAUUGGGACUGAGAUACGGCCCAGACUCCUACGGGAGGCAGCAGUGGGGAAUAUUGCACAAUGGGCGGAAGCCUGAUGCAGCAACGCCGCGUGCGGGAUGACGGCCUUCGGGCUGUAAACCGCUUUCAGCAGGGGCGAAGCUUGUGGUGACGGUACCUGCAGAAGAAGCACCGGCUAACUACGUG